AUGAACGCUAGCGACAGGCUUAACACAUGCAAGUCGAGGGGCAGCACAGGUAGCAAUACCGGGUGGCGACCGGCGCACGGGUGAGUAACGCGUAUGCAACUUGCCUAUCAGAGGGGGAUAACCCGGCGAAAGUCGGACUAAUACCGCAUGAAGCAGGGAUCCCGCAUGGGAAUAUUUGCUAAAGAUUCAUCGCUGAUAGAUAGGCAUGCGUUCCAUUAGGCAGUUGGCGGGGUAACGGCCCACCAAACCGACGAUGGAUAGGGGUUCUGAGAGGAAGGUCCCCCACAUUGGUACUGAGACACGGACCAAACUCCUACGGGAGGCAGCAGUGAGGAAUAUUGGUCAAUGGCCGAGAGGCUGAACCAGCCAAGUCGCGUGAGGGAUGAAGGUUCUAUGGAUCGUAAACCUCUUUUAUAAGGGAAUAAAGUGCGGGACGUGUCCCGUUUUGUAUGUACCUUAUGAAUAAGGAUCGGCUAACUCCGUGCCAGCAGCCGCGGUAAUACGGAGGAUCCGAGCGUUAUCCGGAUUUAUUGGGUUUAAAGGGUGCGUAGGCGGCCUUUUAAGUCAGCGGUGAAAGUCUGUGGCUCAACCAUAGAAUUGCCGUUGAAACUGGGGGGCUUGAGUAUGUUUGAGGCAGGCGGAAUGCGUGGUGUAGCGGUGAAAUGCUUAGAUAUCACGCAGAACCCCGAUUGCGAAGGCAGCCUGCCAAGCCAUGACUGACGCUGAUGCACGAAAGCGUGGGGAUCAAACAGGAUUAGAUACCCUGGUAGUCCACGCAGUAAACGAUGCUAAGUAGCUGUUUGCGAUACACUGUAAGCGGCACAGCGAAAGCGUUAAGUGAUCCACCUGGGGAGUACGCCGGCAACGGUGAAACUCAAAGGAAUUGACGGGGGCCCGCACAAGCGGAGGAACAUGUGGUUUAAUUCGAUGAUACGCGAGGAACCUUACCCGGGUUUGAACGCAUUCGGACCGAGGUGGAAACACCUUUUCUAGCAAUAGCCGUUUGCGAGGUGCUGCAUGGUUGUCGUCAGCUCGUGCCGUGAGGUGUCGGCUUAAGUGCCAUAACGAGCGCAACCCUUGCCACUAGUUACUAACAGGUAAAGCUGAGGACUCUGGUGGGACUGCCAGCGUAAGCUGCGAGGAAGGCGGGGAUGACGUCAAAUCAGCACGGCCCUUACAUCCGGGGCGACACACGUGUUACAAUGGCGUGGACAAAGGGAAGCCACCUGGCGACAGGGAGCGAAUCCCCAAACCACGUCUCAGUUCGGAUCGGAGUCUGCAACCCGACUCCGUGAAGCUGGAUUCGCUAGUAAUCGCGCAUCAGCCAUGGCGCGGUGAAUACGUUCCCGGGCCUUGUACACACCGCCCGUCAAGCCAUGGGAGCCGGGGGUACCUGAAGUCCGUAACCGCGAGGAUCGGCCUAGGGUAAAACUGGUGACUGGGGCU
rnacentral:rRNA from 1 species